CAGUGCCGGAAUGAUGAAUGUGGCUGCAUUCUGAUAAAACUAGUUGUGGACACUAAAAUGUGACCUUCAUGUAAUUUUCAAAGGAGGUGAAGAGCAAAAUAAGAAGAAACCAGAUUACCUGCUGUAUUCUGUCAGCUUUAAAAAGAAGCCACAUGCCUAACACACAGUAUUUGCUCAGAGUACUUUUUGAAUCGAAGAAUCGGUCAUAUACAGAAGAUGAUGCUUUCUGGUCAUGACCAGGAAAGUCAAAAAAAGAGCUGAAAACACAUUCCUCAAAUAACAGAGGCUUGGGUCUGGUCUCCUGUGGCAGAGGCUCAAAUGAAGAAGAAAGAGAGGACAGGUUGCAAGCCCAAACUUCACAAAUUCUUUGGCUAUGAUCUACAGUUGCUGCUGGCAUAGUGAGGGCACAAGAAGUCUAG